GAUGAACGCUGGCGGCGUGCUUAACACAUGCAAGUCGAACGGAAAGGCUCCUGCUUGCAGGGGUACUCGAGUGGCGAACGGGUGAGUAGCACGUGGGUGAUCUGCCCUGCACUUCGGGAUAAGCCUGGGAAACUGGGUCUAAUACCGGAUAGGACGAUGGUUUGGAUGCCAUUGUGGACAGUUUUUUCGGUGUGGGAUGAGCUCGCGGCCUAUCAGCUUGUUGGUGGGGUAAUGGCCUACCAAGGCGUCGACGGGUAGCCGGCCUGAGAGGGUGUACGGCCACAUUGGGACUGAGAUACGGCCCAGACUCCUACGGGAGGCAGCAGUGGGGAAUAUUGCACAAUGGGCGCAAGCCUGAUGCAGCGACGCCGCGUGGGGGAUGACGGCCUUCGGGUUGUAAACGCCUUUCGCUAGGGACGAAGCGCAAGUGACGGUACCUGGAGAAGAAGCACCGGCUAACUACGUG
rnacentral:rRNA from 1 species